CUCGUUGUGCGACCAACGGUAGCCUAGGGAAACGUGCGUUGCUGGUAACGGCAGGGUGCGAAGCUUUCCCGACAACGUAGCCCCCGCGAGGGUGCGAAUUCACCGUGAGGUGAACCGCAGAGGGUCGGAGUAGCACCGACCCAAGGCG
rfam:Pseudomonas phage phi3, complete genome.